rnacentral:rRNA from 1 species
GACACGGCCCAGACUCUACGGGAGGCAGCAGUGGGGAAUCUUGGACAAUGGGGGCAACCCUGAUCCAGCCAUGCCGCGUGAGUGAUGAAGGCCUUAGGGUCGUAAAGCUCUUUCGCCUGUGAAGAUAAUGACGGUAGCAGGUAAAGAAACCCCGGCUAACUCCGUGCCAGCAGCCGCGGUAAUACGGAGGGGGUUAGCGUUGUUCGGAAUUACUGGGCGUAAAGCGCACGUAGGCGGACUGGAAAGUUGGGGGUGAAAUCCCAGGGCUCAACCCUGGAACUGCCUCCAAAACUAUCAGUCUAGAGUUCGAGAGAGGUGAGUGGAAUUCCGAGUGUAGAGGUGAAAUUCGUAGAUAUUCGGAGGAACACCAGUGGCGAAGGCGGCUCACUGGCUCGAUACUGACGCUGAGGUGCGAAAGUGUGGGGAGCAAACAGGAUUAGAUACCCUGGUAGUCCACACCGUAAACGAUGAAUGCCAGUCGUCGGGUAGCAUGCUAUUCGGUGACACACCUAACGGAUUAAGCAUUCCGCCUGGGGAGUACGGUCGCAAGAUUAAAACUCAAAGGAAUUGACSGGGGGCCCGCACAAGCGGUGGAGCAUGUGGUUUAAUUCGAAGCAACGCGCAGAACCUUACCAACCCUUGACAUCCUAGGACMGGSCCAGAGAUGGGUCUUUCACUUCGGUGACCUAGUGACAGGUGCUGCAUGGCUGUCGUCAGCUCGGGUCGUGAGAUGUUCGGUUAAGUCCGGCA